CUAGAGUGGUUAGUAGUUUCUACUCGCUCUUGGGAUUUUUCGCUUCCCACAACCGUCUCCUCCAAGGUCCCUAAAUGAUGAAAAGCCACAGGCGAAGUUCUGUUGCCUUGGCAACGCGUCAGGGCCCUGUUGUAGAACCGCCAUCCUGCAAGAAGUCAGAAUCUCCCAACCUUAGGCCGCCUGCCUCGCGCACCGCUGCACCAGGGUUUCCAAACCAGCUUCCCAAACCGGACUCCCGGCCAGCUCCCUUACUUCUGGCAUGUUGUAUAGAAAUUGACACCAUCGAACAAAACUCCGAAAGUCAGAUGUGGCGCACUCCCAGCAUCUGUGCGCUGGGGAGAGGGAAACUGGAAGAUCAGGCGUUCGAGGCCGGCGUUGGCACAAAGUCUGAGGCCCACUCCGUGAGAUGGAACCCAACACUGCCCAGGUGGCCAAGAACCUGAGACUAAAUAGUCCAUGGAUAUAGGAGAAAAGAAAAUACUAUUGUACUACCAAAGAAACAAAGCAAUAAAAUGAGUCCUAAGGACAUUCUACUUUA